CCACAUCUGGCUGCCUGUCCCAGCAUGGAGGGUCCAGCCCUGCUGGGGUCCUGCUGGACCCAUCUGGGAACUCCUGAAGGAGGGAGCAGAUGGAGCAGGAGCUUGGAUGCAGGUGGGAACGCCGCAGCGUCCAUCAUCAGCUUGCCUAGUGGAUUCUGAGCAUGCAGGGAGGAGCGGAGCCCUGGGACGCUGCCCUCUCGGUCCCGUCUCCUGCUGCUGCCAGGAGGCUCCCCAGAAGCCCAUGGCGUGGAGUCCACCUCUGACAGCCAGGAGCUGGCGGGAGCCGGGGGAGAGGGUCUCCUUACCCUGACCCCCUUCUUUAAGGACCCACGAGCUGAUUCAGAGUAAGAAGCCUUGGCUAUGGGGCCGUCAUAGGCACAUGCGCACACGUGUGCACACACAAUGUCACAAUUGAUGGUGUCCACGAGUAGCCGAAACAGAAAGCCCAUUCUUGUGAUGGAAGGAGGUGGGGGAAAGGCGUUCUGGAAACACCUCGGUCUGGUGUGAACACAGAGCCUAGGUGAGCUCAUAAAUCCCCAUCCUGAUGCCCAAUAGGGGGCUGGGUGGUGACGGGACCCAGUGCUAACGAGAAAUGUGGCUGGUGGGAUGGGGCCACACCACAGCCAGGGACACAGGAGGCCUGGUCGGUGGUCAGCAGGCCUGGGGCCCACCUGCUUAGGCUGAGAGGGAGGUGGGAGGACAGGAAACGAAGGAGGAUGGGAGGGUUGGGGUGGGGGAAGAGUGAGGGGAGAGAGAGAGAGGCUGCUGCUUGGAGAAACAGGCAACUCUUGGCAG
rnacentral:lncRNA from 1 species